CUUUCUUAGUGCGACUCUGGCAACACAUUUUUGAACCUUAAAACUUAAAUUCACGAAAAAGCAUAUAACCCGGUCAAAGUCUGUAAAUUGACUCUUAAAGACAUUUAAAUGACAAAUAAUAUGAUAUAAAGAAAAAAAUAAAUGUAUUACUAUAAAAGGGCAAAAAGUUGACCGGAAGACCCCCUUGUACACAAAUAUUUAAGUAAAAUUUUCAACUUUGAAUUAAAAUUCACAAAAAUAUAAAAAGCCCGGUCAAAGUCUGUCAAUUGAUGCUUAAAGACAUUUAAAUGAAAAAUAAUAUGAUAUAAAGAAAACAAUAAAUAUAUUACUAGAAAAAGGGCAAAAAGUUGACCGGAAGACCCCCUUGUACACAAAUAUUGAAGUGAAAUUUUCAACUUUGAAUUAAAAUUCACAAAAAUAUAAAAAGCCCGGUCAAAGUCUGUCAAUUGAUGCUUUAAGACAUUUAAAUGACAAAUAAUAUGAUAUAAAGACAAAAAUAAAUGUAUUACUAUAAACGGGCAAAAAGUUGACCGGAAGGCCUCCUUGUACACAAAUAUUGAAGUGAAAUUUUCAACUUUGAAUUAAAAUUCACAAAAAUAUAAAAAGCCCGGUCAAAGUCUGUCAAUUGAUGCUUUAAGACAUUUAAAUGACAAAUAAUAUGAUAUAAAGAAAACAAUAAAUAUAUUACUAUAAAAGGGC
rnacentral:lncRNA from 1 species